CGCGUAGGCGGUUAUGCAAGCUUGGUGUGAAAUCCCACAGCUCAACUGUGGAUCCGCACUGAGAACUGCAUGACUAGAGUUCAAGAGGGGAAGCUGGAAUUCCUGGUGUAGGGGUGAAAUCUGUAGAGAUCAGGAAGAACAUCAGUGGCGAAGGCGAGCUUCUGGCUAUGAACUGACGCUGAGGCGCGAAAGCGUGGGGAGCGAACAGGAUUAGAUACCCUGGAGUCC
rnacentral:rRNA from 1 species